rnacentral:rRNA from 1 species
UACGGGGGGGGCAAGCGUUGUUCGGAAUUACUGGGCGUAAAGGGCGCGUAGGCGGCUUGGUCAGUCCCGUGUGAAAUCCCUCGGCUCAACUGAGGAACUGCACGGGAAACUGCCUGGCUUGAGUUCGGGAGAGGGAAGCGGAAUUCCGGGUGUAGCGGUGAAAUGCGUAGAUAUCCGGAGGAACACCGGUGGCGAAGGCGGCUUCCUGGACCGACACUGACGCUGAGGCGCGAAAGCUAGGGGAGCAAACGGG